UACGUAGGUGGCAAGCGUUAUCCGGAUUUAUUGGGCGUAAAGCGAGCGCAGGCGGUUGCUUAGGUCUGAUGUGAAAGCCUUCGGCUUAACCGAAGAAGUGCAUCGGAAACCGGGCAACUUGAGUGCAGAAGAGGACAGUGGAACUCCAUGUGUAGCGGUGGAAUGCGUAGAUAUAUGGAAGAACACCAGUGGCGAAGGCGACUUUCUGGACUGUACCUGACGCUGAGGCGCGAAAGCGUGGGUAGCGAACGGG
rnacentral:rRNA from 1 species